GCGACUUUAGUUUAAUGGUAGAACAAAAGCUUCCCAAGCUUUUGGCGCGGGUUCGAUUCCCGUAAGUCGCUCCA
rnacentral:tRNA from 2 species